UACGAAGGGGGCUAGCGUUGUUCGGAAUUACUGGGCGUAAAGCGCGCGCAGGUGGUCUUUCAAGUCAGUGGUGAAAGCCCGGAGCUCAACACCGGAAAUGCCAUUGAAACUGUAAGACUUGAGGAUGAGAGAGGUGAGUGGAAUUCCCAGUGUAGAGGUGAAAUUCGUAGAUAUUGGGAAGAACACCGGUGGCGAAGGCGGCUCACUGGCUCAUAUCUGACGCUCAGGCGCGACAGCGUGGGGAUCAAACAGG
rnacentral:rRNA from 1 species